AACGGAUCUCUUGGUUCUGGCAUCGAUGAAGAACGCAGCGAAAUGCGAUAAGUAAUGUGAAUUGCAGAAUUCAGUGAAUCAUCGAAUCUUUGAACGCACAUUGCGCCCUUUGGUAUUCCGAAGGGCAUGCCUGUUCGAGCGUCAUUAC
rnacentral:rRNA from 1 species